AGAGUUUGAUCAUGGCUCAGAAUCAACGCUGGCGGCGUGCCUCAGACAUGCAAGUCGAACGAUUAAACUUUCCUUCGGGAAAGAUAUAAAGUGGCGUACGGGUGAGUAACACGUAAGUAAUCUACCUUUGAGUGGGGAAUAACUUAAGGAAACUUAAGCUAAUACCGCAUAAUGCAGCGGCAUCAUAUGAUGACGGUUGUUAAAGAAUUUAUUCGCUUAAAGGGGAGCUUGCGGCAGAUUAGCUAGUUGGUAAGGUAAUGGCUUACCAAGGCAACGAUCUGUAGCCGACCUGAGAGGGUGGUCGGUCACACUGACACUGAAUAACGGGUCAGACUCCUACGGGAGGCAGCAGUCGGGAAUUUUGUGCAAUGGGGGAAACCCUGACACAGCAACGCCGCGUGAAGGAUGAAGUCUUUCGGGAUGUAAACUUCGGAACAUAUAGGAAGAAUAAAUGACGGUACUAUAUCUAAGGUCCGGCUAACUACGUGCCAGCAGCC
rnacentral:rRNA from 1 species